GGACUAUCUGUGUUGUGCCUGGGAGGUUCAGGAGGCAAUUGGCCAGCGGCUGGAUGUGAGAAGCUGUGACAAGUCCUCGCAGAGAUAAAGAUCUCUCUGGGUCUGUAACGCCUUCCCCAGGGCGAGGGGGCUCCUGCCUGCUGACACCAGUGGAGCACCGCAGAGGGGAGGACCAAGGUACCCAAUGCCCCGUGGUGCCGCUGCCAAGCUCCUGCCCUGGAGCCCUGGUGCCUCCUGACGGUACCAGGUGCAUGCAAGGGGGUCCCAUCUCUGCCACAUUCAC
rnacentral:lncRNA from 14 species